CACCUAGAAUCCCAGCAAUUUGAGAGACACAGGUAUGAUAAUGGUAUCAUCAUCAUACAGAAGAAUAUCCUUUUCUUAGGAGAUGCUUACUAAAAUCAAGGAACAUUUGGUAAGAGAAGAACGCCUCAAGAGAGCAUGUGCAAAGCUGCGGUAAACACACUCCGCGUGUGGCCCCUCCCAAGGGCUGGCAGCUCACUGCGCAUGCGGACAGCCCACCCCAAGGGAAGAAUCAGGGCAGAAGGGAUGCGACCCCCUGAAGUACUCCAACGUAUCAACCCCAAGUCAAAGGUCCAACUGCAUACAUUCUCUCAAGCCGCCUGCUUGGCCCUCUUCCAAGUGUACGUUACUUCCUUUUGCUCCUGCUCUCAAGUUUUUUUGUUUGUUUGUUUUGAAACGGAGUCUUGCUCUGUCGC